rnacentral:lncRNA from 1 species
AUACAAGAUAGAAAACUUCAGCAAGAAGAGGUGGAAUUACCACCCAGACCAAGACAGAGAACUUUUCCAGCACUGCUCUGUCUCUUCAGUGAGAAGACCUCUCCCACCUCGGAUUCAGGUUGCCUGUUGAUCAUGUAAAUGGAAUGAUGUGGACAACGGGCAGCCAAGGGAGCGGGACGAACGCAUCAGGAUCGCUGUGUUGCCAGAUGGAUCCCCGGGCAGGCAUAGAGCCUGGUCCUGUUCCUCCUGGACUCAUUUCCUCUACCGUGGCCAUGGCUGGGGCCUUCAAAACAAAAAAAUGCCUCCUGUGGACUGUGGAUCUAUGAUGGAGGAUCCUGGCAUAUUGACUUUUUUUCCAAUGCCAACCAGCACAUACAUUUUUGCCACAGCGAAAAGGCGCCACAAAAGGGACAGAUGAGCGAAUAUGGUAAUGCGGGCCUCGCUAGCAGCAUACGGAGGUCCCCAGGCUAGGGGUCGAAUCAGAGCUACGGCUGCCAGCCUACACCACAGCCACAGCCACGCGGGAUCUGAGCUGCGUCUGCGACCCCCACCACAGCUCAUGGCAACGCCGGAUCUUUAUCCCACUGAGCAAGGCCAGGGAUCAAACCCGCAACCUCAUGGUUCCUGGUCGGAUUCGUUUCUGCUGCACCCCGACGGGAACUCCAAAAGAGCUCUUUUUAAUCGACUUGAAAGUACUUACAAAUUAAAUAUUUCUAAAGGUCACAGAAACUUGCCCCAAAUUUUUGAAGGAUCACAUGAUCUGUGAUGAAUCUUGAAUGAAUGAAAACAAAUUUGUUUGUUUAAUUAAUAUGGCCAUGUCUUUAGUCAUCAACAUUAAGUAUAGUAUUUUUAUUAUACCUAGGCUUACUGAAAAUCAAUAAAUUCAUGAUAUCUCUGUUACUAGAUCUGUCAAAAAGAAAAAUAACUUGGUAUGAUUUUUUUCUCCUUCGUGAAAAAAGGGAGACAAUGGGAUAAAAGUUUUUAGGUGAACUCCAUAGAAUAGCUAUGCUUUAUGAUAUUAUGAUAUGCCUACUUAAUUUCUCCAGGUUUGUAGAAGCUGGAAAAUAUAGAGUUUCACUAAGUUAAGUUAAAUUAUGGGAGUUCACUGAAUAUCUAGGUUUGGUUUUGGGGGGCUUUUUUUUUUUUUUUUUUUUUGGCUAUGCUGUGGCAAUGCCAGAUCCUUAAUCCACUGCACCACAAGGGAAUUUCCUAGGUCAUUUUGUUUUGUUUUGUUUUGUUUUUUAGGGCCACACCUUCAGCAUAUGGAGGUUCCCAAGUUUGGAUCGAAUCAGAGUGGUAGCUAGUGGCCUACACCACAGCCACAGCAACGCCAGAUAUGAACCGCAUCUGCGACCUAUACCACAGCUCAUGGCAACGCCAGAUCCUUAACCCUCUGAGCAAGGCCAGGGAUCGAACCUGUGUCCUCAUGGAUACUAGCCAGAUUCCUUUCCGCUGAGCCAUGGCAGGAACUCCCCGAGGUCAUUUUUUAAUGAAAAUAAAAUCCUGAAACAUUCAUUGCUAAAAAGCCUAAGUUUAUCCACUUUAGACCUCUUAUUACACAAAAAAAUGUUUGAGACUAUCAGUAAAUAUAUUGAAAGAUUGUAAUAUGAGGUGAUAUGUUCUUAAAAUGAAAAAAAUACUGUAUUUAUAUAGUAUGAUAUAUGGUGAUGAUAAGAGAAGGUAUAAACAAUGGAGAUUUUUGUUGUUGUUAGAAACAUAGUUCUUUUUUGGCCACAUCCACAGAAUGCAAAGCUCCCGGGCCAAGGAUCAAACAUACACCACAGCAGUAACCAGGCCCACAGCAAUGACAAUAUUGGAUCCUUAACCUGCUGAGCCACCAGGGAACUCUAAAAUAGUUUGUUUUCUGAAACUGGUUAUUUCUAAAUGUGAAAAAAAGGGGGGGAUGUGUAUUUUAUAUAUAUGUGUGUGUAUAUAUAUAUAGACUAUAUAGAAAGUGGUGAAAGGUAUGUGUCAUCAGGACUGGACUAAGAUUAGACUGAAUUUAAUUAAGUGAAUAAAUUUUGAUAUUAAAUGUGAGGUGGUACAAAAGUAGAAUUUGAGUUUCUCUCUGUUGAGGGGACUAAAUUUUCUGGGAAUCUUUUUUUUUUUUUUUUUAAUGUAAACAAAAAAUAGAGAAAGAAGUUUAUUUUCCAAAAUUUCCUGUGACUCCUUGGGAAUAUUGAUCUGCUUUUGUUACGACAUUGUAAAGUUUCAUUAUCUUUUAAGCAAACUUUCUGUAUUUGCUUUUGAAAUCUAUUAUUGUCACUUUGGUUACAUGAAUAAGUAUCAUUUCAUCGGGACCAAUGCUCCUACUUAGCCAGCAUUUAGAACACCUUCAUACCUUUAAUAAACUGCCUCAAAU